UUAGUAAACUAUGAGUUCAUGUAUAUAUAUACUAUCUCACAUUAAAAUACUCAUUAAUAAUUCAUAAACCUUGUGGCAAAUCAUGUCAGCCAUAAUAUGUCACGUGCAGUGACUUUAUAUCUGAUAAAACACAUGUGGCAUUAUAUAAUUGUUCAUCUUAAUUAGCAUGAUUAUAUUAUGGUUCAUCCUAAUUCACUUAUUCACCAAUAGUGACGCCAUCUUGAAUCAGGAUGCAUUAUGGGUUAUCCAGGGUAAAAAUGAAAAAUCCGAAUUCAGAAGCCUUCAAUGUCGUAUUGAGACACAAUACGAUAAUUUUUUUUAUAAACAAUUUCUUGAUGACAAUGAGGCAGUGUAAAUCAAUUUUAUGCGCACUUUGGUGAAAUUAUUUCCCUUUUUAGGCCUAACAAAGAUUUAAACUAUAGAUUUUAUCCUGAUUUUUUUUAUUUUUUCCAGCUUUUGUGUGUUUUCCUAGUUCUUCUAAAAAUUGUCUGUUAUUUUUAACUAUAAAAACGUGUGUUUUCGCCUACAUAUUCGAUUUACAG